GCGGUUCUCUCGGGACUCGGCGCGAGACGCUUGUCUGGGCUGCGAUCGCCGCCGCUGCCGCCGCCCCGGCUCCCCCUCGGACCCCUCCCCCUCUCCCCAGAGGGGCGUGUGAAGCCGGGAGAUAAACCUGCCAGUAAUUUCAGCAAAUGAAACGUGGAACACGUCAAGGCCAGAGGAUGGAAAAGGCUCCAGUUUUGAUAAAAGGAGGCCUGCUUGGCUUGGAAUCCUCUCUCCUGCUGGUUGGGAGAUGCAAAGAUGUUUCCAGAGAGGGGCUGAUGAAUUGAGGGGAAAGAAAUGAGCCCAGUAUGAGUCCCCUUUCAGGGCUGAGUGUGUAUAAAACCAAACAACUUGGAACCGCUCCAAGAGAGGGGAUUAAAGCAACAUGUUAUUCUGAGUGAUUGCUUAAUUUGUUGAGCUGUGGCUGGAUCUGUAAUGAAAUACAGCCCUUGUAACUGAUAACCUCCUGCUGCAAUUGAACUUCUACAAUUAAGGAAUAUUUUCUGAGUUUCUCUGGAACGGCUCUGAAUUUUUAGCCUCUGUGGUAGGGUGCUUCUGAACAUUUGUUUUCCAGGCAAUUUUUUUUCUUGAGUAUUAGGCUGAUGUUAAUAAGUAAGCAGCAUUU
rnacentral:lncRNA from 1 species